rnacentral:tRNA from 1 species
GCAAUGGUGGUUCAGUAGUAAAAUUCUCACCUCCUAUGCGGGAGACCCAGUUUCGAUUCCUGGGCAAUGCA